UAACGAAUAUUGGGCAAUGGGCGAAAGCCUGACCCAGCAAUGCCGCGUGCAGGACGAAGUCCUUCGGGAUGUAAACUGCUGUCAGGGGUCCGCAAGCGAAGGGGUCCAACAGGCCCUGGAGUUGAGCAGCCCCAGAGGAAGCCUCGACUAACUCUGUGCCAGCAGUCGCGGUAAGAAAGAGGAGGCAAGCGUUGUUCGGAAUCACUGGGCUUAAAGCGCGUGUAGGCGGCUUAGAAAGUGUCGUGUGAAAUCCCGCGGCUCAACUGCUGAACUGCACGGCAAACUACUUGGCUUUAGUUCUGUAGAGGUGCCUGGAACUCUAGGUGGAGCGGUGAAAUGCGUAGAUAUCUAGAGGAACGCCAGAAGCGAAAGCGGGGCAAUGGGACGAUUCUGACGCUGAGACGCGAAAGCGUGGGGAGCAAGCA
rnacentral:rRNA from 1 species